rnacentral:rRNA from 1 species
UCAAGCGAAUAAGCGCACACGGUGGAUGCCUUGGCGGUCAGAGGCGAUGAAGGACGUGGCAGCCUGCGAAAAGUAUCGGGGAGCUGGCAACAAGCUUUGAUCCGGUAAUGUCCGAAUGGGGAAACCCACCCGCUUGCGGGUAUCCUGCAGUGAAUACAUAGCUGCUGGAAGCGAACCUGGUGAACUGAAAUAUCUAAGUAACCAGAGGAAAAGAAAUCAACCGAGAUUCCGUAAGUAGCGACGAGCGAACGCGGACUAGCCCUUAAGCUGGAUUGGUUCUAGGAAAACGCUCUGGAAAGAGCGGCCAUAGAAGGUGAUAGCCCUGUAUCUGAAAGGGCCAUUCCAGUGAAGACGAGUAGGGCGGGGCACGUGAAACCCUGUCUGAACAUGGGGGGACCAUCCUCCAAGGCUAAAUACUACUGACCGACCGAUAGUGAACCAGUACCGUGAGGGAAAGGCGAAAAGAACCCCGGAGAGGGGAGUGAAAUAGAACCUGAAACCGUGUGCGUACAAGCAGUAGGAGCUCCGCAAGGAGUGACUGCGUACCUUUUGUAUAAUGGGUCAGCGACUUACUGUUCGUGGCAAGCUUAACCGUAUAGGGGAGGCGAAGGGAAACCGAGUCUGAUAAGGGCGCAUAGUCGCGGGCAGUAGACCCGAAACCGGGUGAUCUAGUCAUGCCCAGGGUGAAGGUGCGGUAACACGCACUGGAGGCCCGAACCCACUCCCGUUGCAAAGGUAGGGGAUGAGGUGUGAUUAGGAGUGAAAAGCUAAUCGAACCCGGAGAUAGCUGGUUCUCCUCGAAAGCUAUUUAGGUAGCGCCUCAUAUGUAUCCUCUCGGGGGUAGAGCACUGUUAUGGCUAGGGGGUCAUCGCGACUUACCAAACCAUUGCAAACUCCGAAUACCGAGACGGACUGUAUGGGAGACACACGGCGGGUGCUAACGUCCGUCGUGAAAAGGGAAACAACCCAGACCCACAGCUAAGGUCCCAAAUUCACUGCUAAGUGGAAAACCAUGUGGAAAGGCACAGACAGCCAGGAGGUUGGCUUAGAAGCAGCCACCCUUUAAAGAAAGCGUAAUAGCUCACUGGUCGAGUCGGUCUGCGGGGAAGAUUUAACGGGGCUAAGCAGUGAACCGAAGCUUGGGGUGCAUACUUUGUAUGCGCGGUAGAGGAGCGUUCCGUAAGCCGUUGAAGGUGGAUUGAGAAGUCUGCUGGAGGUAUCGGAAGUGCGAAUGCUGACAUGAGUAACGAUAAUGCGGGUGAAAAACCCGCACGCCGAAAGCCCAAGGUUUCCUUGCGCAACGUUAAUCGGCGCAGGGUGAGUCGGCCCCUAAGGCGAGGACGAAAGUCGUAGUCGAUGGGAAGCAGGUUAAUAUUCCUGCACCUCGCGUAAGUGCGAUGGAGGGACGGAGAAGGUUAGGUGUACCAGGCGUUGGUUGUCCUGGGGAAAGGCGGUAGGUUUGGAUCUUUGGCAAAUCCGGGAUCCUUUAAGACCGAGCACCGAGACGAGCCUUUAUGGCGAAGUCACUGAUACCACGCUUCCAGGAAAAGCUCCUAAGCUUCAGCUUACGCAGACCGUACCGUAAACCGACACAGGUGGGUAGGAUGAGAAUUCUCAGGCGCUUGAGAGAACUCGGGUGAAGGAACUAGGCAACAUGGCACCGUAACUUCGGGAGAAGGUGCACCCUUUUUGGUGGCUCGUGCGAGCUAUAGCUGAAGAGGGUCGCAGUAACCAGGCCGCUGCGACUGUUUAUCAAAAACACAGCACUCUGCAAACACGAAAGUGGACGUAUAGGGUGUGACGCCUGCCCGGUGCUGGAAGGUUAAUUGAUGGGGUCAGCCGCAAGGCGAAGCUCUUGAUCGAAGCCCCAGUAAACGGCGGCCGUAACUAUAACGGUCCUAAGGUAGCGAAAUUCCUUGUCGGGUAAGUUCCGACCUGCACGAAUGGCGUAACGACAGCGGCGCUGUCUCCACCCGAGACUCAGUGAAAUUGAAAUCGCUGUGAAGAUGCAGCGUUCCCGUGGCAAGACGGAAAGACCCCGUGAACCUUUACUAUAGCUUUACACUGAACGUUGAGUUCGUCUGUGUAGGAUAGGUGGGAGGCUAUGAAACUGUGGCGCUAGCUGCAGCGGAGCCAUCCUUGAAAUACCACCCUGUCGUGCUUGACGUUCUAACCUGGGCCCAUUAUCUGGGUCGGGGACCGUGUAUGGUGGGUAGUUUGACUGGGGCGGUCUCCUCCUAAAGAGUAACGGAGGAGCUCGAAGGUACGCUCAGCGCGGUCGGACAUCGCGCACUGUGUGCAAAGGCAUAAGCGUGCUUGACUGCAAGAUCGACGGAUCAAGCAGGUAGGAAACUAGGACUUAGUGAUCCGGUGGUUCUGUAUGGAAGGGCCAUCGCUCAACGGAUAAAAGGUACUCCGGGGAUAACAGGCUGAUACCGCCCAAGAGUUCAUAUCGACGGCGGUGUUUGGCACCUCGAUGUCGGCUCAUCACAUCCUGGGGCUGUAGUCGGUCCCAAGGGUAUGGCUGUUCGCCAUUUAAAGUGGUACGCGAGCUGGGUUCAGAACGUCGUGAGACAGUUCGGUCCCUAUCUGCCAUGGGCGUUGGAGAUUUGAGAGGGGCUGCUCCUAGUACGAGAGGACCGGAGUGGACGAACCUCUGGUGUUCCGGUUGUCACGCCAGUGGCAUUGCCGGGUAGCUAUGUUCGGAAGCGAUAACCGCUGAAAGCAUCUAAGCGGGAAGCGCGCCUCAAGAUGAGAUCUCCCGGGGCACAAGCCCCCUGAAGGAACCAUGUAGACUACGUGGUUGAUAGGUCAGGUGUGUAAGUACAGCAAUGUAUUGAGCUAACUGAUACUAAUGAUCCGUGCGGCUUGACCAU